rnacentral:lncRNA from 1 species
UUUCCCCUCAUAUAUCAGCCCUUUGAAACAGAGGAGAACUUGCUAUCUGCCUCAUUUUAGAAGGGUUUUAUUGACAGUGGAUAUUAUAGUUCAUCUUUUAAUGUAAAGGAAGAAAGAAAUGAAAUAUUUGCAAUGAUACUUUCCAGAUAAUACUGAAAUAUUUUGGACAGGUAUCCAUUAUCAGAUAAAUCCAAGUUCAUUUCUAACAUGGCACCAAGCAAGGAGUAGCUGUCGGCAGCAGAAUACAGAAUUAGUAAGCAUCAUGGAGAUUCAUGAUCAAGCAUUCCUGAAAGGAAAUCCUGUCCCAGCUCCUGAGAAGUUCUGUGCAGUGCUAAAUCCCAGAAAAGAAGCAAAGUGGGAAAACAUGGACUGUGAUUAUAAAUUUGGUUACAUCUGUAAAAAGGAAAACCCUACUCUAGAGUUCCCCAACCUCCCCACAGAGCCAACAGAAGAGUUGUGGAUUGGAUUGAAAACUUUGGUUGGUUGA